UGGGGAAUAUUGCACAAUGGGCGCAAGCCUGAUGCAGCCAUGCCGCGUGUAUGAAUAAGGCCUUCGGGUUGUAAAGCACUUUCAGUCGGGAGGAAGGUGGUAAGGUUAAUAACCUUGGCAAUUGACGUUACCGACAGAAGAAGCACCGGCUAACUCCGUGCCAGCAGCCGCGGUAAUACGGAGGGUGCAAGCGUUAAUCGGAAUUACUGGGCGUAAAGCGCACGCAGGCGGUUGAUUGAGUCAGAUGUAAAAUCCCCGGGCUUGAACCGGGAAUUGGAGAUGGUACUGGUCAGGUAGAGUGUUGGAGAGGGGGGGAGAAUUCCAUGUGUAGCGGUGAAAUGCGUAGAGAUGUGGAGGAAUACCGGGGGCGAAGGCGGCCCCCUGGACAAAGACUGACGCUCAGGUGCGAAAGAGUGGGGAGCAAACAGG
rnacentral:rRNA from 1 species